GAAGACAAAAAAUUGGAAUAGGAAAAAUGUUGAUUGCAUAUGUUGCUAUUGAAACUGUGAAGUCAAAUAAGCAUGGCUUAUGCAGACAUGUGAUAGAGAUAUUGGAAGAA